GGCGGCCGUAACUAUAACGGUCCUAAGGUAGCGAAAUUCCUUGUCGGUUAAAUACCGACCUGCAUGAAUGGCGUAACGAGAUGGGAGCUGUCUCAACCAGAGAUUCAGUGAAAUUGUAGUGGAGGUGAAAAUUCCUCCUACCCGCGGCAAGACGGAAAGACCCCGUGGACCUUUACUACAACUUAGCACUGCUAAUGGGAAUAUCAUGCGCAGGAUAGGUGGGAGGCUUUGAAGUAAGGGCUUUGGCUCUUAUGGAGUCA
rnacentral:rRNA from 1 species